AACCUCCGCAAUGUGAGAAAUCGCGACGGGGGGAUCCCAAGUGCCAUUCUUAACGGGAUGGCUUUUCAUUAGUGUAAAGAGCUUUUGGAAUAAGGGCUGGGCAAGACCGGUGCCAGCCGCCGCGGUAACACCGGCAGCUCUAGUGGUAGCAGUUUUUAUUGGGCCUAAAGCGUCCGUAGCCGGUUUAAUAAGUCUCUGGUGAAAUCCUGUAGCUUAACUGUGGGAAUUGCUGGAGAUACUAUUAGACUUGAGACCGGGAGAGGUUAGAGGUACUCUCAGGGUAGAGGUGAAAUUCUGUAAUCCUGGGAGGACCGCCUGUUGCGAAGGCGUCUAACUGGAACGGUUCUGACGGUGAGGGACGAAAGUUAGGGGCGCGAACCGGAUUAGAUACCCGGGUAGUCCUAACUGUAAACGAUGCGGACUUGGUGUUGGGGUGGCUUUGAGCUGCUUCAGUGCCGAAGGGAAGCUGUUAAGUCCGCCGCCUGGGAAGUACGGUCGCAAGACUGAAACUUAAAGGAAGU
rnacentral:rRNA from 1 species